UUUCGCUGCGGAACAUUGCUAGCUUGAAGCCCAGGAAUGGCUGGUUUGCUCAAAAUUUCUGUAGUUGCGUUGGCGCUAAUUGCCGCUGCACAACGGUGUAAGGGAGAUGAAGAGUCGGAGGAGCUUCCUCCGCCUCCUACGCCUGCUCCGUCGACCUGCGAUAGUACUACAAACCUCUUCUGCCGUAUUUGGUUAAAAAAUCCGGAGAUGUGGAAGGUUAAAACAACUGGUAACUCUAACGAAAAAUGCGCGAAGGAAGUACGCACAGAGCUUGACAAAGACAAAGUCCGUCUCUACGAACAGUAUCGUCAUGGAAAUAUAACAGUGACCAAACCAAGCAAACAUUGGACAUUUUUUACGAACCACGAAAAUGCAAGCCUAAUGUCGUUCACAAGUGAAAGUGAGUAAU